ACGGCGCACGGGUGCGUAACACGUGGGCAAUCUGCCCUUCGAUGGGGAAUAACUCCGGGAAACCGGAGCUAAUUCCGCAUAACAUUCCUUGGACUGCGGUUCGAGGACUCAAAGCCGUAAGGCGUCGAAGGAGGAGCCCGCGCCCGAUUAGCUAGUUGGCGAGGUAAUGGCUCACCAAGGCAAUGAUCGGUAGCUGGUCUGAGAGGAUGGCCAGCCACACUGGAACUGAGACACGGUCCAGACUCCUACGGGAGGCAGCAGUGGGGAAUCUUGCACAGUGGGCGAAAGCCUGAUGCAGCGACGCCGCGUGGGGGAUGAAGCAUCUCGGUGUGUAAACCCCUUUCGACCGGGAAGAAUGCCUCGCAAGAGGACUGACGGUACCGGUAUAAGAAGCCCCGGCUAACUACGUGCCAGCAGCCGCGGUAAGACGUAGGGGGCCAGCGUUGUUCGGAAUUACUGGGUGUAAAGGGUUCGUAGGCGGUGUGGCAAGUUGGGAGUGAAAUCUCUGGGCUCAACCCAGAGGCUGCUUCCAA
rnacentral:rRNA from 1 species